AUUCCUCGUAGACGGGAUGGUUGUGAGCGGGACAGAAACUCCACCACAAGGGUUCUGGGGGUACUACAGGGACUAAAGGAAGCAGUGUGAUCAGUGUGAAAGCAGCAAGGCCAUGAUUUAUUUCUUGGGCGUGUAGUUUUCUCCCGAGGCCUCUGCUUGGUUAUUUUACCCAGCAUCGGUGCCAAAGGAGAUUUCCCCAAAGGGAAAAGUACUGCAGUGCUCGACGCAUUACAGUCCUUUCCCGUUUGCAAGCUCUCCCACACAUUCCUUCUUCUGUUCCCAAAUCACAGGAGACGACGAGAAAGAGAACAGACCACCUGUCCAGAUAAUUUGCCUUUGGAGUCUGCAGGGCUGGUGAAGGCAUCCUGAGAUGGGGGAGGCCCCUGGGGACCUCCACAGUCAGGGCUCCCACCUCCUCUCCCACACCGCUCUGCCUCAUGCCCUGGGUUGCCUGUCUGACUGUCUCAAGACUGGGGGUUCUCCGGUGAGCAGAUGGCUGCUUAGCGUCUGAGGGGCAGACACCAUGCCGUGGUGACAGCGUGAUCCCUUGAUGGAAAGGCCACCAGAACCACUGGUAGUGCAGCUGGACACUGCGGAGCCCUGGGACCACACCCGCUGCCUCCCUCCAGACUCCUUAGGUCUAUGCCGUGUGCCUGGCUUUUUCCAACCACUCCGAAUUGAUCAUUUCCUAAUGACCACAUGGCUCAGAAACUCACAGCACAUCCUUCUAGGGGCCUCUUUCUCCCAAGUCCUCCCAGGGACUUGGCAGCUUCAUCUCUAAGGCCUGCAGAGGCUGUGGCUAUGGCUGUCCAUUGUUCUCGCUCCUUGGCUUCAGUUCAGAGCCAUCAAAUCCCUGCAGCUCGCACACUGGAACAUUCAUAUUUUGGAUAAGUCAACAAAACAGCUUCUAGAAAAUGGAAAACCCAGAGUGUGAUCUACCAGGAGCUCCUGGUUUCAACCAGUUCCUUGCUGUACCUGCUGGGCCUGUGAUACGAAGAAACAUCAUGGCUUCAAUGGCAGCCUUGGAAAUGAACUUCAUUGAAAGGGAAUUUACACUGAGGUUUAUGAUUGCUGCUAUGAAAAGAGUGCACAUCCUUUCCUUCGAAACACAAGACUAGAAAAAAAAAACUCUAAAAUUCAUACGG
rnacentral:lncRNA from 1 species